rnacentral:rRNA from 1 species
CGUGUAGGCGGGAAGGAAAGUCAGAUGUGAAAUCCCCAGGCUCAACCUGGGAACUGCAUUUGAAACUCCCUUUCUUGAGUAUCGGAGAGGAAAGCGGAAUUCCUGGUGUAGAGGUGAAAUUCGUAGAUAUCAGGAGGAACACCAGCGGCGAAGGCGGCUUUCUGGACGGUAACUGACGCUGAGACGCGAAAGCGUGGGGAAGCAAACAG